UGAGAGCGAGAGGGCAACAAUGUCUUGGGGAAGCAUCCAAAGGGAUCGCAUUGAUCCUUCGACUCCAUUAAUGGUGUUCGUCAUCGUCUGCUGAUUGUCGACGACGGAUCAUGCGAUCCUUUUGGAGGCUUCCUCUAGCCAUUACUACACUAAGCAUUC